GUGACUUUCUAGACAUAAAAUGUCACUUUUUUCACCUUAUCAUACAUUUUCAUCAACUUUUGCACUUUAAUGUAAACAAUCAUAUUUCGUAAUAUUUUGGGUCAGAAACAUUGCAUAGUACUAUAUUAUGUCUAAAUAUGUGAAAAGAAUCAAAUUGGAGUAGGUCGGGCAACUGAUUAUAUGAGUUUGUUAGAAAAACCACUUUCCUUUGCUCCUAGCGCCUUCUCGUUCGCUGUAUAGCGUUUUGAGCGGAUAAAGAGCACAAGUGUGUAAGGGGACACAGGAUGAAUGGGAACUAGUUUUGUUAUUGUACUUUUGAUGAAAAGAGACUUUCUAGACAUAAAAUGUCACUUUUUUCACCUUAUCAUACAUUUUCAUCAACUGUUGCACUUUAAUGUAAACAAUCAUAUUUCGUAAUAUUUUGGGUCAGAAACAUUGCAUAGUACUAUAUUAUGUGUAACUAUGUCAAAAGAAUCAAAUUGGAGUAGGUCGGGCAACUGAUUAUAUGAGUUUGUUAGAAAAACCACUUUCCCUUGCUCCUAGCGCCUUCUCGUUCGCUGUAUAGCGUUUGAGCGGAUAAAGAGCACAAGUGUGUAAGGGGACACAGGAUGAAUUGGAACUAGUUUUGUUAUUGUACUUUUGAUUCAAAGUGACAUUCUAGACAUAAAAUGUCACUUUUUUCACCUUAUCAUACAUUUUCAUCAACUUUUGCACUUUAAUGUAAACAAUCAUAUUUCGUAAUAUUUUGGGUCAGAAACAUUGCAUAGUACUAUAUUAUGUCUAAAUAUGUGAAAAGAAUCAAAUUGGAGUAGGUCGGGCAACUGAUUAUAUGAGUUUGCUAGAAAAACCACUUUCCUUUGCUCCUAGCGCCUUCUCGUUCGCUGUAUAGCGUUUUGAGCGGAUAAAGAGCACAAGUGUGUAAGGGGACACAGGAUGAAUGGGAACUAAUUUUGUUAUUGUACUUUUGAUAAAAAGUGACUUUCUAGACAUAAAAUGUCACUUUUUUCACCUUAUCAUACAUUUUCAUCAACUUUUUGCACUUUAAUGUAAACAAUCAUAUUUCGUAAUAUUUUGGGUCAGAAACAUUGCAUAGUACCAUAUUAUGUCUAAAUAUGUGAAAAGAAUCAAAUUGGAGUAGGUCGGGCAACUGAUUAUAUGAGUUUAUUAGAAAAACCACUUUCCUUUGCUCCUAGCGCCUUCUCGUUCGCUGUAUAGCGUUUUGAGCGGAUAAAGAGCACAAGUGUGAAAGGGGACACAGGAUGAAUGGGAACUAGUUUCGUCAUUGUACUUUUGAUGUAAAGUGACUUUCUAGACAUAAAAUGUCACUUUUUUCACCUUAGCACACUUUAUCAUCAACAUUUUACAUUUUAAUGUCAACAAUCAUAUUUCGUAAUAUUUUAGGUCAGAAACAGUUCAUAGUACUAUAUUAUGUGUAAAUAUGUGAAAAAUAUCAUAUUGGAGUAGGUCGGGCAAUUGAUUACAUGAGUUUGUUAGAAAAACCACUUUCCUUUGCUCCUAGCGCCUUCUCAAUCGCUGUAUAGCGUUUUGAGCGUAUAAAGAGCACAAGUGUGUAUUGGUACACAGGAUGAAUGGGAAUUAGUUUUGUCAUUGUACUUUUGGUGGAAAGUGACUUUCUAGACAUAAAAUGUCACUUUUUUCAGCUUAGCACACUUUAUCAUCAACUUUUACAUUUUAAUGUAAACAAUCAUAUUUCGUAAUAUUUUAGGUCAGAAACAUUUCAUAGUACUAUAUUAUGUGUAAAUAUGUGAAAAAUAUCAUACGGGAGUAUGUCGGGCAAUUGAUUAUAUGAGUUUGUUGGAAAAAACCACUUUCCUUUGCUCCUAGCGCCUUCUCAAUCGCUGUAUAGCCUUCUGAGCGUAUAAAGAGCACAAGUGUGCAUGGGGACACAGGAUGAAUGGGAACUAGUUUUGUCAUUGUACUUUUGAUGAAAAGUGACUUUCUAGACAUAAAAUGUCACUUUUUCACCUUAGCACACUUUAUCAUCAACUUUUACAUUUUAAUGUAAACAAUCAUAUUUCAUAAUAUUUUAGGUCAGAAACAUUUCAUAGUACUGUAUUAUGUCUAACUAUGUGAAAAAUAUCAUAUUGGAGUCCGUCGGGAAAUUGAUUAUAUGAGUUUGUUAGAAAAACCACUUUCCUUUGCACCUAGCGCCUUCUCAAGCGCUGUAUAGCGUUUUGAGCAUAUAAAGAGCACAAGUGUGUAUGGGUACACAGGAUGAAUGGGAAUUCGUUUUGUCAUUGUACUUUUGAUGAAUAGUAACUUUCUACACUUCAAAUGACACUUUUUUCACCUUAUCAUACUUCACCAUCAAGUUUUACAUUUUAAUGUAAACAAUCAUAUUUCGUAUUAUUUUACGUCAGAAACAUUUCAUAGUACUGUAUUAUGUCUAACUCUGUGAAAAAUAUCAUAUUGGAGUCCGUCGGGCAAUUGAUUAUAUGAGUUUCUUAGAAAAACCACUUUCCUUUGCUCCUAGCGCCUUCUCAUGCGCUGUAUAUCGUUUUGAGCGUAUAAAGAGCACCAGUGUGUAUGGACACACAGGAUGAAUGGGAACAAGUUUUGUUAUCGUAAUUUUGAUGAAAAGUGACUUUCUACACUUGAAAUGACACUUUUUUCACUUUAUCAUCAGGUUUUACAUUUUAAUGUAAACAAUCAUAUUUCGUCGUAUUUUAGGCCAGAAAUAUUUCAUUGUACUAUGUAAUGUCUAACUAUGUGAAAAAUAUCAUUCUGGAGUCCGUCGGGCAAUUGAUUAUAUGAGUUUGUUAGGAA
ensembl:lncRNA